GGAAGGAUCAUUGUCGUGACCCUAACCAAAACAGACCGCGCACGCGUCAUCCAUGCCGCCGGGCGGCAUCCGCCGCUCGGCCCAGGCCCGACCUCCCCGGAGGGCGGGCCGCAACAGAACCCACGGCGCCGACGGCGUCAAGGAACACUGUGCCUACUAACCGGGGGCGCGAACGGCCCGGCCAGCCGGCGCCGGUCGCCUCCCGUGUUGCUACGCUAUCUAAUAAUCCACAUGACUCUCGGCAACGGAUAUCUCGGCUCUCGCAUCGAUGAAGAACGUAGCGAAAUGCGAUACCUGGUGUGAAUUGCAGAAUCCCGCGAACCAUCGAGUCUUUGAACGCAAGUUGCGCCCGAGGCCUUUGGGCCGAGGGCACGCCUGCCUGGGCGUCACGCCAAAAGACGCUCCCCACCCCCCUCGGCGGGGCGGAGGACGCGGUGUCUGGCCCCCCGUGCCGCACGGCGCGGUGGGCCGAAGUAGGGGCUGCCGGCGCAGCACGCCGGGCACAGCACAAGGUGGGCGAUCUCGCACUCUCUUACGUGCAGUGCCCCGGCGUGUAGCCGGCGCAGCGGCCCAGGGACCCAUCGACCGGAGCGCACGUCGCUCGGACCGCGACCCCAG
rnacentral:rRNA from 2 species